rnacentral:rRNA from 1 species
GUGCUUAACACAUGCAAGUCGAACGGAAAGGCCCUGCUUUUGUGGGGUGCUCGAGUGGCGAACGGGUGAGUAACACGUGAGUAACCUGCCCUUGACUUUGGGAUAACUUCAGGAAACUGGGGCUAAUACCGGAUAGGAGCUCCUGCUGCAUGGUGGGGGUUGGAAAGUUUCGGCGGUUGGGGAUGGACUCGCGGCUUAUCAGCUUGUUGGUGGGGUAGUGGCUUACCAAGGCUUUGACGGGUAGCCGGCCUGAGAGGGUGACCGGCCACAUUGGGACUGAGAUACGGCCCAGACUCCUACGGGAGGCAGCAGUGGGGAAUAUUGCACAAUGGGCGGAAGCCUGAUGCAGCAACGCCGCGUGCGGGAUGACGGCCUUCGGGUUGUAAACCGCUUUCGCCUGUGACGAAGCGUGAGUGACGGUAAUGGGUAAAGAAGCACCGGCUAACUACGUGCCAGCAGCCGCGGUGAUACGUAGGGUGCGAGCGUUGUCCGGAUUUAUUGGGCGUAAAGGGCUCGUAGGUGGUUGAUCGCGUCGGAAGUGUAAUCUUGGGGCUUAACCCUGAGCGUGCUUUCGAUACGGGUUGACUUGAGGAAGGUAGGGGAGAAUGGAAUUCCUGGUGGAGCGGUGGAAUGCGCAGAUAUCAGGAGGAACACCAGUGGCGAAGGCGGUUCUCUGGGCCUUUCCUGACGCUGAGGAGCGAAAGCGUGGGGAGCGAACAGGCUUAGAUACCCUGGUAGUCCACGCUGUAAACGGUGGGUACUAGGUGUGGGGUCCAUUCCACGGGUUCCGUGCCGUAGCUAACGCUUUAAGUACCCCGCCUGGGGAGUACGGCCGCAAGGCUAAAACUCAAAGGAAUUGACGGGGCCCCGCACAAGCGGCGGAGCAUGCGGAUUAAUUCGAUGCAACGCGUAGAACCUUACCUGGGUUUGACAUGGAUCGGGAGUGCUCAGAGAUGGGUGUGCCUCUUUUGGGGUCGGUUCACAGGUGGUGCAUGGCUGUCGUCAGCUCGUGUCGUGAGAUGUUGGGUUAAGUCCCGCAACGAGCGCAACCCUUGUUCACUGUUGCCAGCACGUUAUGGUGGGGACUCAGUGGAGACCGCCGGGGUCAACUCGGAGGAAGGUGGGGAUGACGUCAAGUCAUCAUGCCCCUUAUGUCCAGGGCUUCACGCAUGCUACAAUGGCUGGUACAGAGAGUGGCGAGCCUGUGAGGGUGAGCGAAUCUCGGAAAGCCGGUCUCAGUUCGGAUUGGGGUCUGCAACUCGACCUCAUGAAGUCGGAGUCGCUAGUAAUCGCAGAUCAGCAACGCUGCGGUGAAUACGUUCCCGGGGCUUGUACACACCGCCCGUCAAGUCAUGAAAGUUGGUAACACCCGAAGCCGGUGGCCUAACCGUUGUGGGGGAGCCGUCGAAGGUGGGACUGGUGAUUAGGACUAAGUAGUAA